CGGAUGCCGGUCGCAGUGGAGGCUGGACCGAUGCUCCUUAAUUGGAAUGCCGUCUAGAUGUAGACGUUGCCGCGCUCAACGGUGUGAGGCGAUGCCCGGUUAUGCCGGAAGACUGUUAUCUGAGCAUUAACAUCAUUUGUGACAUAUGAGAUGCCCGGUUUUGACGGAAGACUGUUAUCUGUUACAUUGACUAUGGCCUGUAUGCUUACAUGGAUAUUCACACCUUGCAUAUGCUUAUGUUAAAGUAUUCCUGUGAUGUGUGAACUUGACACUGUUAGGAAUAUUUUAUUUGAUGCUAAUAUGCAGGAACUUGCUGGUGUUAAAAGAGUGGUAAGAAAUGUGAUUAGAUUGCAUGCUGGAUGUACCCUUCACCUAAUCUGGAAUUAGGAGAUUUACUCGCUGAGAUGUGAUCUCACCCCUUAGUGGGCUAACAUUUUUCAGGUCCAUAAAUGGAGGAAGGCUGGAUCGUAUACAGUUGGUCGCAGUAAAGGAGGAAUAGGAUUCUCGCUAUCUCCUUCCAAGUGAUGACGGAUUUUCCGUCAAGACUGGAUGUAGGGUGACAGCUCACCCCCGAGAUAUUGAGAAGUAUGGUAUUGUAAUAGUAAACCCCAGUUUUAUAAAUAGAAGCUUAGUUAGUGGUUAAUCGAAUAGCUUCACUUUUGUAUCAAAUCUUGAGGGUGUUAAACUAGUCUAUUUACAUAGAUACGAUAAUGUUGUAGUUGUGGUUUGUGAAAAAUAAUAUCCUACGUUUCUAUCUCAC
rnacentral:lncRNA from 1 species